rnacentral:tRNA from 1 species
GCCAGUGUGGCUCAGUGGUUGAGCGUCAGGCUAUGAACUAGUAGGUCAAGGUUUGAUUCCUGGUCAGGGCA